AAUAGAGCUAGUAUGGCAGUUUGAUUUCGACUCAGAAGGAGGGUAGUA
rnacentral:tRNA from 1 species